AGCGCCGGGCACUUCCGGGCGGGCCCGGAUUUGCCGCCGCGCUUGGGAAGCCGCCGCCGCCGCCGCCGCCGCCGCCGCAUAGCACUAGGCUCCCGGCGGGGCAGGCUCCGCAGCCGGCACCGCUCUGGCUAGGCGCACGGAGGCGCCUUGCUUAGCCUGACCCUUAUUUGGCCAGGCGUAAAACUUGUCCUGCCUAAAAGCCUGCUGAGACCUCCUAACUGGUCUAAUCCGCGGGAGACGCCAAAGGCGGCGGCCGUUUGUGCGCACAGGAUUUUUCUUGGAGCUGUAGCAGUCUAGGAAGCCAGGGUGGAACUUUUGCUAAGCUCCCGUUGUAAGCCCAGAGCUGUAAUAACUGCUGAGACACAACCAGCAGUAUACAGGCUCCAGUUGGAAAUCGAGAACUUUCCAGGGCUGUCUGUCACCCAGGCUGGAGUGCAGUGGUGCCAUCACAGCUCACUGCAGCCUCGACCUCCUAGGCUAAAGUGAUCCUCCCAACUCAGCCUCCCAAGUAGCUGGGACUACAGGAAUGUGCCACGCCCAGGAUCUUGCUUUGUACCCCAGGCUGGAGUGCCGUGGCGCGAUCCUGGGUCACCUCCCAGAUUCAAGCAAUUCUGUGCCUCAGCCACCAAGUAUCUGGGACUACAGGCAGACCGGGUUUCACCAUGUUGCCCAGGCUGGUCUGGAACUCCUGGCUUCAAGUGAUCUUCCUGCCUUGGCCUCCCAAAGUGCUGAGAUUACAGGCAUGAGCCACAGUGCCCGGCCAACACCCUUACCUUUAUGUUCCCUGUCACAUUAUGUCAAAUAUUUCAGAAUGCUUCUUUGUUUCAAAUUAAAUACACAUUCAUAAAUUUACUGCUUUGGUUCUUUGGAUAAUCAGUCAGGUCUAUAGGAGAGAUGAUUUUUGUUGUUUUUCUUGUGAAAAAUGUGAAGAAUAAGUUGAAUGGUUGGCAUACUGCCACAUCUUAUAGCCAUUGAGUUAAAUAUUCAUUUGAAUUAGGUUUAAAACGUGGUUGAGGCUCUUGAAAUGCUAGUAAUCCAUAGAUUCUUUAUCAUUAGUGCCUCACGCAUUAGAAAUAGCAGUACUUCUGCUGGGGAAUAUAUCAUCUGGGAAAAGUCUUGGCUACCCUACCUGCAGGUCCUCUAUUCAUAGUGUAAUAAAAGAAAAACAAUAAAAAUGAUCUCUUCUACAAGAUUAUCCAAAACUCCUACAGCAUCCCUCAAGGCGUCAGCUGAGGGCUCUUAUUCCAAAGUCACUUACUGUUGCUGGAAUUCUUUUAUUCUGCCAGGAUCCAGGCAGUCACUGCUGCCAUGAUCUAGUCCCUAAUGACCUCUCUCUUCAGCUUGGCCAGCUAAGCUCUCUCCUGCUGGCGCCCUGGCCCUGCCCCUUCUCUGCUCUCAUGUAACAGAGAAAGAGGAGUUGUGGUUGGCCCUGGAACCUGGAUACAGACCCAGGGGAAGUCUAAAGCUCUCCACUCUGUUCAGCCAGAGGCCACCAGCCUCUGUACCAGCCCAGUUGGCUCUAGAGGUGCAACUGAUCGGUCUCCUCCUCUUUUAACUCUGCUCGGUCAUCACGAUGUCUCCAGGUCAGGGUCUGUGGUCUCCUCAGAGAGACACACCCUCCUCCCUAUCAGGGCUGUACCUGGCUAGAAGAGUUUGUUUAAACAUCUGCCCCUGCAGUGCGCACUGGGUGGUUUCCUGUCUUUGUGUCCUCCUCCUAAAUUGGAGCCACUUCACCCCAGUCACCUUGGAACCUGACUCAAGAAAUGGCAGUUCCAUGCCUAUUUCUCUGAACACACAAAGGGGUCCUGUCUCCAGGGUAAUCUCAGAUUGGAUCACCCCUUGUUUCACUUAGACUCAGGUGCCCCUCCUCCCAACAAGGAUGCAUAUAGAAUAGAAUUAGGCCUUGCUCCCAGACAAGCAAUCUAGAAGUCCAUUCUCAUUGGUUGACCUUCUGUGGUGUUCCUGAAAUUGCCUUGUAGCCAAUCAGACACUAAGUAAACCCAGGAGCCUUGGAACCUCUGGACCUUAGUGUUCCUUGACUCACUGAUUUUCCACUGGUCUGGUGCCUCAGAAGAACCAGAUUCUCCUGUUCAGUCGUCACUUCCCUUCUGCUGCUUCCCCGCUUUAGAAACUAAGCCCUGUCUUGCUUUUGUCAAUUCUGUAUUUAUACCCCUACACAAAACUGAAUGGCCACUGGCCUCCAGAUGGUUCUCCUACACUUCAGUCUUUCACUGCUAGCCUGCCUGCCGAAUUGGAAACCCUGGUAUGACCAUUUCCAAAAUUAGAAACCAGACUGCACCAUCUCCAGGGGCACUGUGCCUGCAUCUCUCAGCACUCAGUCGAGCCAACCUCCGCAACUGUCCCAGACACCCUUCCUUCCAGUCUCUUCUCCCCUCCCCCACAUUUCUGGCUAUGGUGAUUUGGGCUUUUGCCUUCCACUCUUUGCCCAACCUUGCUGAAGUCUUAACACAUUGGACCUCCCCUGCCUGAACUAUGCCAAGCAGAAGAAAGGCGAAUUCAAGGGUUACCUAAACCCUGGAUAUUCUUUCAGAGGCCUCAUCCCACAUCCUAUCAAACACUGGAAAAUGUAGUCCUAUCCCACAUGAAAAGCACGACGUUUUGUUAUGAAAAUUAAAGGAAUCAUAUAAUUUUCCUCUUGAAACAUUUAUUAAUUGCAUUUUAUAAUUUGCUUUGUGUUUUAGAGCCAAGCCAUUUUCUUGUCCAGCUCUCAAACAAUUUGAUAAGACUGGGAAAUGCUUAUGAGCUCUGGGCACUGCACCUAUAGUGAGAACUUGAGCCUUAAAGGAUUAGAAAAAUGCCUCUGGGAGGAAAGCAAACACACGUCUCUAUGGUGCAGUUCAAGCCCCUCACCCCCAUCAUCACUUAAAUCUCUCUCUUGCCCAGUUUCUAUAUCCUAAUGGGCUUCUUUGCCUGAUCCCCUGUCUUGGCUACUCACCUUCUGCCAGCAGCUCUCAGACAAACACUCCCCUUAUUCCCAAAGCAAGCUGGCCUGCCUGGAUUUCAAGAGUUUCACCAGCCCCUAGAUUCCCUUUCAAGCCCUUGUUCCAUCUCUGAGGACCCUGCCCCCAGGCGACUGGCAGUUUGGACUAUGGCAUUUGUUUGCUUGACCCUGUAGAAAUGAUAACUGGACUCUCUUAAGGCUGCAGCUUCAUCUGGCUCUCUGGAGCCCCAGCCCCCUUCAAAGCCCUGAUCUGGGAUUACAUAUUGGGUGCUUCAGUCUUGCCCUACCUGCUAGGACUGACCAGCAAAGGCCAUUUGUGUCCCAAGUAGGACAGCUACCAAAAAUCACACUUCACAUUUUCCUACUUAAGGUGCCUGCUUACAUUUCCCUGUGCUUUGAGUGUCUCCUUCUCUAAAGGAGCCUUUUAUGAGUCAGUUACAUGUGGCAUCCCUGCUACACUUCUCUGUGGCUUUUCUGAUCAGUUAUGCAGAUUAAGAACAUGUACAAGAAAGCCAAAAUAUCCCCAGCAAUUACCCCAGGUUACGUCUCUUGUAAAUGAUAACCAUUACUCAGUUGAAAUAGCCAUUAAUAGUUGGCUUUUGUGUUCCAGGAUUUCUGAGGUCACUGAAUUACUAGUGAUUCUGCAAUUUCAAUAUAUUUCUUAAAAUUGAAUUACACGUAUUUUGGGUACACAGUGAUCCAGUUAAGAGGGAGAGUCUGCAAUUACAUAUUUUUGUCUUUUUAGUUUCCUUUCUCAUUUUUUUCCCCCAGAAAGGAAAUUAGACUAGCCUUUUAAAAAUGGUGUUCUGCUACAGUCUGCAAUUUUGAGAGGAAAGGUGAUGAAUGCCUUUAUUUUCAUGUCGUCAAAAGCUCAGCAAGAAUUUGCCUCUAUUUUGACUGUGGAGCCUACUGUGUGCAAAACAGGUGUGACAAAAUCCCCCCAUUAGAGCUGUUUUCUUUCCAUUUUCUAUUUUAAAAAAACUUUUCUCUCUGUGGUAAUCACUUAACCCUAAAAGGCCUGGAUAUUUAUACAAAAAGGUACCAUGCUUCAUUUGUCAAAUACUCUUUCUCUUCUGAGUUUGAUUUUAAUUUUAGUUAUUUAAUUGUUUGGUCCAAGAUAGACUUAAAACAUCUUAUUUUGAAAGAAAACAUGAUUAAAUUCCUGGAAUAUUUACUUGAUCACUUGAACCAAUCCAUGGUGUUCCUCCAUUGGCAUUCCUCCGCGGGACAUGUGAUGACUAGCCUGCUAGUCUUGGAAAAUACUCCUCCCCUGCCCUUCUCUGUCCUUAUCUAAGCUGGCUUCUACAGGCUGUUUUCCAGACCCAUGUGUCAGCUGGCUUCCUACUGGGCUAGGCUAACAGGGAGCACUGUCAGGUGAUUGGAGGGUAGGAGAAACCAAUGUAUCUCCCCAUCUCUUUCUGCCUUAGGCACCAUCCCCUGCAGCUGUCUCCCCAGAGGCUCCCUCUCUUACUGGACAGGCCUACCAUGAAAUCAGCCCUGGGAUCUGACAAUACUACCUCCUCCUGCCACCUACUUAAAAGUGUAAUAGUUUCCUGUGGUUGCUUCUCUGGGGAAGAAUUUCCCCUGGAUUCUUCUCAGUUUUUCCAUCACCUGUGCAACAGAUUCCUUGUAUCACAUUCUUUGAAGAAAUAAGUGUGGUUUCUGUUUUUCUAGUUGAAUUCAGCAGAUUUAUCCAUUUUGUGUUUUCGUAAGGGUCUUACCCUGCUUAGGGAAGAAGGAAUGAUUUUCACAGGAAAGCAGUCACAUUCAGUUUAGGAAUCUGCCUGUGCUUCUCCAGAUGGCUUUAGUAAUGUCAUUAUUUUUUCCACCUCUUACUCCCCAUGCUUGCUCCUCACCUCCCAUACCCAACCUAUGUCUCUCCUGCUUCCUCCAUUCUUAGAGCAUAUGACACCUAUCUUCUGGGGUCACAUCCCCAGAGGUACACAAUGAUUUGUUUUUGUUUAUUUUUAAAUUUCUUUUCAUAUAGUGUCCUUAACAAGAAUGUCACUGCUGUAGGAUAGGAUAGCAAAAGAGCACUGGGUUUUUCAUUCAGAAUGUGAAUCAGUGUGGCUUGUUUGAAUCCUAUAGCCUUGUCCUGCACAACAGUGCCCUUGAUAGCGAACAGGAAAAAAGAUAAUUUCACCACAAAUCUAUGAGGAGAAAAUGAGAUGAAACAUAUGAAAGGACUGUGCAAAAGAUAAAAGGCUAAAAGAAAAUAAAAAGAAAAGGCCAGGUAUGGUGUUUCAUGCCUAUAAUCCCAGCAUUGUGGGAGCCCAAGGCACGAGGAUCACUUGAGCCCAGGAGUUCAAUAUCAGCCUGGGCAGCAUAGAGAGGUCCUGUCUCUAUUUAAAAAAAAAUUUUUUUAACGAUAAAAUGCUAAGCAAAUAAGAAGUUAUUAUUUUGAAAUAGUAAAUAAGCCUAAAUUAGUUGUUUUCCUUGAAACAAUUGUAAUUUUAAAAGUUAUCACAAAGGUAUUUCUCAACUAGAAUUUAUACAGAAGCUUAACAACAUCACAGUCUUGAUUUAACACAUGAUUUCUCAAUCUCAGUUCUAUUGACCUUUGAGAUUGGAUAAUUCUUUGUUGUAGGGAGCUGUCUUGUGCAUUGUAAGAUUUUUGGUGGCAUCUCUACCAGUAGCACCCACCUGUCUAGUUAUAACAAAACAUUUCUCAACAUUGCCAAAUGUCACCUGGGAAAAAAAAAAAGAGACAAAACUGCCCCAAAUUGAAAACCACUGAUUUAACAAAACCUACUUGGAAAGAUGUGCCUUCUUUCUGAUAUAAGUUGUUAAAACAAACAAUAAUUAAAAGAAGUCUGGCUUUUCAUGGAUUAUUGGGAAAAAGUCUUUUGAAAAUGCAGUUCAGUCAUAAAAUAUAACCUUAAAGAUCCAAAAACCCUACAGUGAAAGUCAGUGGUGAUUGUCACAGCAAUGGUGUGUGUUACUAAGUAUUUACGUUGGAGAAGCUAAUCUUCCUGUUAAGUAUUGUGGUCGGACUACCUAACCAAGAUGUCCUUUCUUCUUCAUACAAUUAAUAACAUUGUUAUUUUUACUAGGUGUUAAAAAAAAAACACACUAACACUUUAUAUCUGACUACUGUAUGUUGAAAUCCUUUGAUGUCCUUUAAAAGGCAAGGUAACUCAGAUUGAAUAUUAGUAGGAACAUAUAUUUCACUCAUGACUCAGAUAUUCUGGGUUUGUACUUGUAUGGACUACCUUGAGUAGCUGCAGGACUUAGAAUGUUAUGAGCAUCACAGCUAAGUCAUGGUCUGUAGAAUCAUUCAUAUUUCAAUUCCUAAUAUGAUAGUCUUAGCUACCAUUUAAUUUCUAGAGAACUGGAAACCAAAGUAUAACUAUGUAAAGUCUAGAAAUUAUUGUAUUUAAAAUAUUGAUUCCAGCUCUCCAAAUAUGUCUCUUCUAGCUUAUAUCAAUAGGUUUCUAAAACUAGUUUUUCAUCUCUACUGUGUCAGUUAGCUUUCUUCCCAGCUAAAGAAAAUAUUGACCAAAGCAAGUUGCAAAACAGGUGAAACUGGUUGUAGUAAAAGAGUUACUUUUUGCUGGGAAGAUAAAAGAGAUGUAACUACUGUCCUUGACAUGAGUAUAUUGCUAAGCUUUGUGGACAAACAUUCUGAGAUUGGUAAAAUACUGCUUCAGGAAAAUUACACUUAUUUCCUCAUCUGUGAUUUUGCAUUCUCCUAGUUAAUCUUCUUUUGGGGGACAGUGAGCCUCCUUUGAAGGACUUACGGGCAUUAAUAAUAAUAUCACUGUACAAAAAUUAAUGAUAUGUAUUGCUCUUUUAAAGAUAUUUUUGUACAAGAUAUUUUAAUAAAACAAUCUUAUUCA